rnacentral:rRNA from 1 species
UGCAAGUCGUACGAGAGCUUUUUUAGCUCUAGUGGCGGACGGGUGAGUAACACGUGAGAAUCUGCCCUUAGGAGGAGGAUAACAGCUGGGAAAACGGUUUGCUAAUACUCCAUAUGCCCGAGGAGGUGGAGAGGGAUUUUAUCCACCCUAAGGAGGGAGCUCGCGUCUGAUUAGCUAGUUGGUAGGGGUAAUAGCCUACCAAGGCGACGAUCAGUAGCUGGUUUGAGAGGAUGAUCAGCCACACUGGGACUGAGACACGGCCCAGACUCC